GAUGAACGCUGGCGGCGUGCUUAGCACAUGCAAGUCGAACGGAAAGGCUCCUGCUUGCAGGGGUACUCGAGUGGCGAACGGGUGAGUAACACGUGGGUGAUCUGCCCUGCACUUCGGGAUAAGCCUGGGAAACUGGGUCUAAUACCGGAUAGGACCACAUUUUGGAUGGUGUGGUGGAAAGUUUUUCGGUGUGGGAUGAGCUCGCGGCCUAUCAGCUUGUUGGUGGGGUAAUGGCCUACCAAGGCGUCGACGGGUAGCCGGCCUGAGAGGGUGUACGGCCACAUUGGGACUGAGAUACGGCCCAGACUCCUACGGGAGGCAGCAGUGGGGAAUAUUGCACAAUGGGCGCAAGCCUGAUGCAGCGACGCCGCGUGGGGGAUGACGGCCUUCGGGUUGUAAACUCCUGUCGCUAGGGACGAAGCGUUUUUGUGACGGUACCUGGAGAAGAAGCACCGGCUAACUACGUG
rnacentral:rRNA from 1 species